UCAAUACAUGCCUGUCAAAAAUAUUACAAGAGAGUUGUAUUUCUUGACUUUUCUUGCUGCAGGUCUUGGACAGAUAUAUGCAUUGCUUAUCAAGUUAUUAUCUCACUUGCAUUGAUGAGUUGUCGGGGAUUUCCGUUGCUACUUGAUCUCUAUUGCUUUUAUCAAUAUAGACAACCUGCUGAAACUUUGUUUGAAUGGGUUCUUAUGCAUGUCCAAAGCUAUGGUAGCCUUGGGCUUAGCCUAGAAUUAUGGUCCAAUUGAGAAAUAUAUUGAGAAAUAUAGCCUUUGUCAUGCUAUUAUCUCAGUGGAAGCCAG
rnacentral:misc_RNA from 1 species